rnacentral:lncRNA from 10 species
GUCACUCUGUCGCCCAGGCUGGAGUGCAGUGGCGCGAUCUCGGCUCACUGCAAGCUCCACCUCCAGGGUUCACGCCAUUCUCCUGCCUCAGCCUCCCGAGUAGCUGGGACUACAGGCGCCUGCCACCAUGGCCAGGUAAUUUUUUGUAUUUUUAGUAGAGACGAGGUUUCACCGUGUUAGCCAGGAUGGUCUCGAUCUCCUGACCUCGUGAUCCGCCGACCUCGGCCUCCCAAAGUGCCGGGAUUACAGGCGUGAGCCACCGCGCCCGGCCCAUGUUUAUUUCUUUUUCUCCCCGUACCCCUACUUUUUUUUGAAACAGUGUCUUGCUCUGUCGCCCAGGUUGGAGUGCAGUGCGGGAUCAUAGCUCACUACAGCCUCGACCUUCUGGGCUUAAACGAUCCUCCCACCUCAGCCUCACAGUGCUCCAAGAAUACAGGCAUGAGCCAUGACACCUGGCCUCUUUCCCCUUCUUUAGUUCACUCACUGGUCUCUAUCAUUUCCUCUCUCUUCUCCACUCCUUCCCCAGGUUUCUGUCUCCUUGUUUCUCUUUUUCUUUCAGUUACCAGAAUUCUUACCGCUGGGCCUGGAAGAAAGAGCACUCAGUUUCUCAGAGGAGGAAACUCAGGCCAAUAGAAAUUGCCCAACGGCCCCCCAAAAUCCUGCUGUCCCUUCCCCCAUUCUGAACUAAGCUGUCAGGAAUGUGACCACCAGAGCAGAAAGAUCCUUUGUUACCACAGAGAGAGGCCAAGUUUGUGAAAUCCCUCCUGGUUGCUGUGUGGAGCCCUAGUUCAUCCACAUUUCCAACAGCUGAGUCUUCCGCACAACGGGAAAAGCACCAUUAAUUUCACUCUCCUAUCUUGGAGCAUUUAGAUCAUUUCCUGGUUUUGCUUCUUACAAACAGAGCUGCUAUGAACAUCCCUACCUGGAACUCAGGGGCCACUUUUCUCUAGGGACACAUUCAUCUGUCUGCUAGAUGCUUUUUUCUAAAACUCUACUUUCAUUUUAAAAAUUAUGACAUGGCUAUACUUGCUCAGGCCUCUAAGAUGGCAUCCUAGGACCUACUGAAUGGAGUCCCAGCAUCUCAAGGAAGGAAUGCCAGAAGCCAGAACAUCCAAGUAACAAUCUCCACCUGCAGCUGAUGCUCUCUGGGACCCAGGACCAGCCACUCUUCUCUGUGCCCCACUUUCCUCCUUUGUAAUCUAAUUACCCAGUGAUGACCAGGAUAUAAGAGGACUUGUCUGCAUUGUCUCAUGGCCACAACCACAAGAAGAGCGUCCUGCUGUCACCCCCAUUUUAUAAAUAGGGAAACUAGGUCAGGCAUGGUGGCUCACACCUGUAAUCCUAGAGCUUUGAGAGGCCAAGGCGGGAGGAACAGUUGAGACAGCAGUUUGAGACCAGCCUGGGCAACAUAGCAAGAACUCCGUCUUGACAAAAAAAAAAAAAAUUUUUUUUAAAUUAACUGGGCAUGGUGGCACACACCUGUUGUUCCAACUAUUCGAGAGGCUGAGAUGGGAGGAUCAUUUGAGCCCAGGAGAUCGAGGCUGCAGUGAGCUAGGAUCAUGCCACUGCACUCCAGCCUGGACAACAGAGUGAGACCUUAUCUCUAAAAAAUAAGAAAACUGAGGCACAGAGAAGUUAAGUAACGUGCUCAAGGUCAUGCAACUAGUAAGUGGCAGAGCCUACGUGCUUUCCCUUCAUUAAUUCAGUCAUUUAUUCAACAACUAUUUUAUUGAACAUCCACUAUGUACCCAGCCUCGGCAGUGAUCAAGAUACCCAAGAUCCUAGAUUUUACAAAAUCCACCACUUAAAAGCAGAGCAUGGGAUGGAAAGGAGACAAAAAUUAUUGUGUCUAACUUAUUUGUUAAUUUGCCUAUGGGCAGCAAUAAGUGCCAUGGGGGGAAAAAAGGUAGAGUAAUAGGAACUACUUUGGUCAGGGAAGUCCUCUCUGCAGAGUGGAGACCUCACUGUCAAGGAGAAAACAGCCAAGCAAAGGCCUAAAUCAAGGGUGUUACAAGAGAAAGGAAAAGGCAGGAGUAGAGAGGCCCCAUUGUCAGAGGCGUUUAAACCAGAGUGACUCCAUCUUGACCAGGAGCUGGGUACAAUGAGGCUGAAACCUACUGGGCUGCAUUCCCAGAUGGUUAGGCAUUCUGAGUCACAGGAUAAGAUAGGAGGUCUGCACAAAAUACAGGUCAUAAAGACCUUGCUGAUAAAACAGGAUAAGUAAAGAAGCCAGCCAAAACCCACCAAAACCAAGAUGGUGACGAGAGUGACCUGUGGUCGCCCUCACUGCUGCACUCCCACCCGCGUCAUGACAGUUUACAAAUGCCAUGGCAAUGUCAAGAAGUUACCCAAAAGGGCCAAAAAGGAGGAGGCAUAAAUAAUCCACCCCUUGUUUAGCAUAUCAUCAAGAAAUAACCAUAAAAAUGGGCAACCAGCAGCCCUUGGAUCUGCUCUGCCUAUGGAGUAGCCAUUCUUUCAUUCCUUUACUUUCCUAAUAAACUUGC